CCCGAUUUCAGAACCCAAAUCCGAUCGAUUCUUUUUCAUUCACUUCAUUUUCUCUGUUUCCUCUUCUCGCGAUCUUCAUCACUACUAACAAUCAAACCUCUUCUUUACUCCCAUCUUUAAUGUCUUUCGUUUCACCUCCCUGUCUAUCUAUUUCUUAUAAAUAAGCAUCUCCAUCGCCAUGAAUCUCAAUGAAGCGUUACGCCUCUCCUCUCCAAAAAUGGCCGAAAAAUUAUCCAAACCAUGACCGCCUCCCAACUAUCAAACCGUGGUGAAGAUUCCGUCGGCAGCCGAAAGCUCCUGGAAAGACGUCUCCGGUGGAGGCUUUGUUUUCGCGAUGCUGCCUCAGAAUCGGGGAAGCUGAUCACAUGGGGCUCGACGGAUGAUCUAAGGUCAAGGCUAUGUCACACCAGGGAAGCACGGUGUAAGCUUCCCUAUGAUUGUGUUUCCAAUUAUUGCUCCUACACGUAAUUGAUGUGAAAUUGUAAAUUUCUUUUGAGCCAAUACUUCAUUACUUUAGUAUCAAUCUGCUUCUUACAAUCGUUAGUUGUCUGGAACAGAGGUUACUCCUCCUCCAGGUAAAGCUAUUAAAUUGUCUCACUUGUGAAAGUUCUAAGUGGAGUUUCAGUUUCUGCCUUAACAGCUUAACUUUUUCUACUUUAAUAUUUUCCCCAUUUAUCAACAUGCACCUAAAUUUCACAGGCCCCGUGGAGUUAUAUCAGAUUAUGUUUCUCUCAAAUGUGCUGACCACUACUCAGCUUUGAGUUUGCCUCUGUGACAUGGCUUAUCCAAAGGAAAAUAUACGAAAAAGGCGGUGAUGGUCCAUCCCCACAAGAAUUUGGGGAGUGACAGAGCAUCUGAAUCUUUAUAAGAGAAGUCAGAACCCAUGAGGGAUAUGGUUUCCCUACCUCGGGUUCUAGAAGCUAAGAAGAUGAACGGUUGGAUGCUUUAAGAGAGUUAAAAUGUGGAAAUCUCCUGGCGGGAUUUCUACACGAGAAAUGGAAAUCUAAAGCAAGAAGAGGUAGCGGUGGUGGUCCUGGUGGUGGAGGUGAAGACCGUUGCGGACAUGGAGAAGAAGAAGGAUGGCAAGGGAUCGAAAAAGAGGUGGAAUGGUUCAUCAACCAGUGACAUGGAGCAGAGAAUCUGCACUAAAUCGUUUUUGCGGAUGGACCUGCGGCUCUUCUAAUGAUCACCGGUUAUAUUCAACUAGAGCUUAAAUGUGUCUUUGGUAUCAUGAAAUUUCAGGAUUUGAUUUUCGUUCGCAAGUUGUUUAAAGAAUUUUGGAUGCUGGACAAUGCUUCCGGCUAUCCAGAUACAGUGACAAUAGGACGUUGGGUGACAGAAGAUGAAGCAUACUCUGCGGUUUAAGAAAACGUGGCAGGAGGCAACCAAGUCAGGUGCGUCUAGGAUGGUUGGUAAGCUGGUUUAUGGUGUAAGUCCAGUGUCAGCUACACUCUCUGUUGAGAGACGAGAGUUCUAUGCUCUAUUUGUUGAAGAAGGUUUGGUUUUGAGCAAUAUCCAUAGGAAAAAGGAAGCCAGGAAAAGUUUAUGAGAAAGUCAUUAAACUCUCUGAAAACUCAAGUAAACUUCGAAGCAUGAUCUUAGCAUAGUUGCUGAGAAGAGAUAAUUUGAUCCUGAUUUCAGUCUAAUGGAUCAUGAACAAGAAGGUUAUGGAUUUGACUAAGAGUCUAAGAGCUUCUUCAAGGAGGGAUAUCUUGGUAGUGGGGCAAGAUCAAGAAAUCUGCUUCGGGGAUGUUUAUAACCACAGAUGAGAAAACAUUAAAUGCAAUGCAUGUGUAGGCGUGAGUGACAAAAGUGGGAGUAGUAUUUUAAAGGAUUCUAUGCAAUGCAUGCGUAUGAAUUAGAGUAGCUUUGUAUGUAUUUAAAUUCCCACUACUCUAUUUCAUACUUUCUUGGAAUAUAUGGUGAGAGUCACCAAUAUGACAGAUAAAUCUGAUAAUGGGUAAAAAAAUGAAUCCCACUUAUUCGUCCAUC